rnacentral:piRNA from 1 species
UUGGUAUCCUCUCUGUCGCUUGUAGUCC